UCCCACCCCAUUAACCGCCCUCCACGUACGUGCUUCUUUAAAUGCCCUGGGCAGUACAGUAUUGCAGUUACUCCUCGGGAUGUAAGGAAAGGAGACUGUGAGGAGAUAGGGGAUUGGGGAAGGAGACGAUUCGUUCAGAGAGAGGGUUACCAUGGAGGAGUUACGCGGCCGCGGGCGAAGACGGGAAGGGGGGCAGAUGGGGCAGGGCUCCCGUGAAAAGAGAGACAGCUCGUGCCUGAAGACAACAUGACACGUGGAAGCCUGAAGUAGAGGAACUCUGAGGACAGAGAGGAAGAGAGAAGAAACCACAUUGGCCAUUCCGAGGGACUCACAGAACAGCGCGCUCCCCACUCUACCGUGUGGGCUAACCAAUGUGAUCAUAGCGGCAAACUCUUCUGUAGCCCACCUCUCGAGUGGCACUAACAACAACAACAGUAAUAAUAAUAAUAAAAAGUUCACCUGUACAACCUAACGAGCUUUCUAGCUUCACAUGGACGCCACCAUGAUCGUACCCCGCCCUUUUACGCACUACGAAACGGCCUUGCGACGGCGUCCGGGAAAGAACAAAUUAGGUCGACGACAGCUUCGCGAAACCGGAAAGGAGGAUAUUUCGAGAGAUCGUAAACUGCUUUUGCUCCCUAUAUAAAAUGCAAAGUUCAGUUGGGCAGGGACACUAAAAAAGGCCCCGCCCCUCCUCUGGAGUUGCUGGAAGGGUGGUUUAAUACCUGGCCUGUGUGUGACAUUAAAAAAAACCAUCAUUACCUUCUUCACCCUUCUCUUCUAAAAGUUCUGGUCCCUUUUUAGACUGACGUGUCAUCCUCCCAACCCGGUAACUGAAAUAUGCCUUGCAACGAUCAUUUAAAGAAAAGAUUCGGAAGCAGGACCCUAUGAUAGAGCUCUAGGCUAAGAAAAAAUCAACUCUCACUUCUUAGUCCAAACGUUUUAUUUCUUUUUGGAACAGUUAAUUCAAAGUUAAGAAAAAGACCUCUGCCGCUUUGUUCAAAUCUACAACACCAUCUGGGGACUGACUCAGCAGUUGAAUAAACUUCUUGGUGAGAAGACCAAGUGACGUAUCAUAUCGUGUCUUUUCUGAAGGAGAUUUGGGAGCUUGAAGAAAAAUGAAUUUCAUGAUGGUACUGAAGCUGGCAUACUGUUUUACUUAAAAAAUUCUGAGUAAUUGUGUGUAUUGUACAAAGGACCACUCAAAACCUGUUCUAGUUCAAUAUUAUACAUCAAGUAGCUUAGCUUGACCAUUUUUUUAUGGCUCGUCUCAAGACAUGUACAAAAAAAGGAGAAAUAUAUCCUGACUAACACAAUGGGACUAGGAAAAAAAAGAGCCAA